GCGUGAGUGACGAAGGUCUUCGGAUUGUAAAACUCUUUUAGCAGGGACGAUAAUGACGGUACCUGCAGAAUAAGCCCCGGCUAACUUCGUGCCAGCAGCCGCGGUAAUACGAAGGGGGCUAGCGUUGUUCGGAAUUACUGGGCGUAAAGCGCACGUAGGCGGACUUUCAAGUCAGAGGUGAAAUCCCGGGGCUCAACCCCGGAACUGCCUUUGAUACUGUAAGUCUUGAGCUCGGAAGAGGUGGGUGGAAUUCCUAGUGUAGAGGUGAAAUUCGU
rnacentral:rRNA from 1 species